GAAAGAAUUGAGAUUCGGAUUGGGGGAUGCUCUGCUAAUGCCUUUAGGUUUCAAAUGUUUCCAAAACAAAACAAAUCAACCAAGUGGCAAAAUUUCAAGGAUAAGAUGCUGUGAUAAAAUACCAAAAAAAAAAAAUGCAACGUUGAUGUAGGAGGUUUUGGCGGGAACGAGGCCAUUACUAAUGUUAAUCCUGAUGAUGAUAAUUGAGAGAUGAUCUCUGGGAUUUGGGUCAUUGGGUGGAUGUACCGGAAAUCAGUCGUUUAUGCGGGAUCCGGUUUAGUGUGGUUCAAUGGAUAAGCUUUGAAAUGGGCAGGCAAAUUUUAGGAUUCUUAUGAAUGAAGUCAAAGAGGAACCGAGAGGGUGAAUUGAAUUGAUGAACCUUGAAACUGACGAGAGUGAAGCUUUUUUGUUGGGAGAGAGAAUGAGAUCUGAGUUUGUUUCCUUGUUAGAGGGAGAUGGGUUACGGAUGGGGGAUCUACGAGGGAAUGCUGGUUACUGGAUCUCUCUGUUUUCUCAAUAGGAGGGAGUACGAAGAGAAGCAAGCUUUGGUUCGAAUCAUUUUCAGCUUGCAACCUUUUACAGCUCGAAAUCAUCCCUGUUUUAUCUAGAGAGACAAGGAUGGUAAACUGGAAGGUGGAUCUCUUUUGUUAGAUGCUCCGCAGUACUGACUGGUGUAAGAAGGGAACGUGCUGCUGUUUGUUAUUCUUGACAGCGUUUCUUUAUGCUUUUUCUGGCGCAUGGGAAUUCAUUUUCCUAUGCCUUCGGACAAAGGUACCUCUUGACUUUAUGCACCGUCUUUCUCCCUUCAACACUGUAUAAGCAAGAAGCAAGUUGAUCUAAAGUUUCAGUUAGAUCUUAUUAACAAUUUUAUGAACAAUGUGGAGUAGGCAUAUGUUGUUUUAACUUGAAAUGAGCAUCUGAGCAUGUUGACACUGACUAUGAUUGCCGGACUGUAGAAAAUACUUUCAGAAAAAAAUUUGCAGCGUCAAUCAUCCUGCCUUCUUUAUGCUUGUGUCUAUUGCUGCUCGACAGUAGCUUUUGUAUAUACAAAUGCUCUUGGUUCUUUUUAUUUUGAAUGCUUAAGAUCUUGUCACCUGCUUGUUGGACUACUUUAUACUUAAACACCAUUUUAUCUUGAAAGGUUUCUUUUCAAUGCCUCAACUGGUCAGCAGAAUCGGGGUCAUUGGUGUGACCCUCAUGGCCGUCUUAUCGGGUUUUGGAGCUGUAAAUUUGCCCUACAGUUAUAUAUCGCUCUUCAUUACGUACUUCCUUAUAUAAUUCUGAUUAUAUAUUUUUCUUCUACCUUCAUUUCUUGAUGCUGCUGCUUUUUCUCGAACAUGGAAGGGUCAUGUGCAGAACUUACUUGGCUAUGCGUGUUCCAUUUUAUGUGAGGUGCUAGCCUUCAGUAAUUUUAAUUCUAUGUUAUCCUAGCAUUGCAAGACUAUGCUAAACUCUUCCGCAUGGACGUGACAACGGCAGUGUUAGUUUUUGUAAUAGAUUGAUGCAGAGUUCAAAAUUGAGUUCCUUUGUCUGAACUUCUAUACUUCUCGGAAAGGAGAGCUUUCUCUAUGCAUAAUGGGCAUCCUACAUUCCACAUAUAUCAAUUGAUGGAUAAAGUUAUACUUUUUGGACAUCUUUACUCUGUUUGGUUCUGGGAGGUGCAGUUUAAAGCUGUUCUCCGAACACAGUAAUGGUUUAUUAGAUGAAAAUGUUUUCUCUAUUGUAAGUUUGUAACUGUGAACUAGUGUUCUCUCAAUAGAGUAUUUUCGUCUGGUGGCAUCGUGAA